ACUGGGCAGAGGGACCCUCCUCCUGGCAUCACCGAUUGAAUUUUGCCCUUCCCGGCUUUGGAAAGCUGUGAAGUUCAAGGAUUGCAGAGCAACGGAGGGAGGAAGAUAAAUUCCUACAGGCCCCAGAAGUUUU